rnacentral:rRNA from 1 species
UACGAAGGGGGCUAGCGUUGCUCGGAAUUACUGGGCGUAAAGGGCGCGUAGGCGGUUCUGUUAGUCAGGCGUGAAAUUCCUGGGCUCAACCUGGGGGCUGCGCUUGAUACGGCGGAACUAGAGGAUGGAAGAGGCUCGUGGAAUUCCCAGUGUAGAGGUGAAAUUCGUAGAUAUUGGGAAGAACACCGGUGGCGAAGGCGGCGAGCUGGUCCAUUACUGACGCUGAGGCGCGAAAGCGUGGGGAGCAAACAGG